UAGAGAUAACUGAGUGCUAACAGCUUAGU
rnacentral:piRNA from 1 species